rnacentral:lncRNA from 13 species
AUGAACGUGGGCACCUCGUCCAUGACCACCACCUUCUUCUUCUUUUUCUUCACCUGCUCCUCUCUCCUCUUCGGGGAAAGUACCUCCUCUUUGAGCACAGACUUCAGCUCCUUUAUCCAGUCCUCCCUCCUCCCGGGGGUCUGCGCUUCCUCUGGGGACAACUUCUUAAUCCCGUCCUCCUUCCGCCCAGGGGUCUGCGCCUCCUCUGGGGACAACUUCUUAAUCCAGUCCUCCCUCCACCCAGGGGUCUGCGCCUCCUCUGAGGCCUCCUUCUUGAUCCAGUCAUCGCUCCUUCUGCGGGUCUGCACCUCCUCUGGGGCCUCCUUUUUGGCCCAGUCCUCCCUCCUCCAGGGGGUCUGCGCCUCCUCUGGGGCCACCUUUUUGUUCCAGUCGUUGCUCCCUCUGCGGGUCUGCGCCUCCUCUGGGGCCUCCUUCUUGUUCCAGUCGUUGCUCCCUCUGCGGGUCUGCGCCUCCUCUGGGGCCCCCUUCUUGUUCCAGUCGUUGCUCCCUCUGUGGGUCUGUACCUCCUCUGGGGCCGCCUUCUUGUUCCAGUCGUUGCUCCCUCUGCGGGGUGUCACCCUAACUCUUUUUACUGUCACCUCCUCUUUCAUUUCUCCUUGUUUCAGCCUUGUGGGAGAUAGCAGCAUCUCAUUCAGCAGUUGUCGUUUCACCUCCUCUGUUCCAGGGAACCCAUUCUCUAUCCAGGCUUUGUGACCUUUGACCCCUAGCUCCACCUCUUCUUUCUUCUCUUUCCUUCUUUCCUUCGCUGUGUAUUCCUUCCCAAACUUUACUGGCUCAUCCUUAGUGGCAGGCCCUGGCUGUUCUACUCUCUCGCUGCAUCCCUCUAAUGCAGAUUUAAACUCAUCCUCAAUGAGAUCUUCUGGCUCUUCCGCCAUCUCAAUCGCUCCCUCUGACUGUGAGUCUAGAUUAUCGUCAAUGUUUGUCACUGGCUGUUCCUCCAACUCACCCCCUCCCUCUGCUCCUCCCGUCCCUAUCUCUGAGACUGGGACCAGAUUAUCCAUCUCUUCAGCCCCUCCCACCUCUGCAGCUCCGGGCUCAUCCAGAAUGACCUCUCCUUUCUGUUCUUUCUCCAUGUCUCCUUCCUCCUCAAGCUCGAAAGCCUCCUCAACAUGCUCUAAAUCCUUGUCAUCGUCCUCCUGUGUAGCUCCUGCUGAACCCUUGAGUAUCUGUACCUGUGGCUGAGCUACAACUUUGUCUUCUUUCUCUUCCCCCUCUUCUCUGUUAGCAUUAUCAGGCUCUAAAGCCUUUUCCGUCUGUUCCUCCAUACUGCCACCUCUUCUCUCUUCCUCUGCUAUGUCUACAUUAUCCUUCUUCUUUUGCUCCUCAUCUACUUUACUGCCUCCUGUGUCCAUCCCCAACACCGCAUUAUCCCCAACCUGUCGCGGUUCUUCCCUCUCCCCACCACCUCUCUCCACUGCCCUAUCACUGUCACCCUCUUCCACCUGUAGCUGUUGUUUUGUCUGUUGUAAACCUCCCUCCUCUUUAGAGCUGUUCUCACCCUCCUGACUCUCAUUGGGCUGUAUCAGUAGCUGUGGCUUGCUCUUGCUCCCUCCCUCAACAGGUGGAGUGACAACAUCCUGUGGCUGUUGAGCUGUGGUUGCCUGACUCUUGACGACUCCAAGCUCUAUGAACUCCUUGGUAACGAACAACGGGGGCUGGUGCUCUGUCGCUUGAUGCCCCUCCUCUUUUUUCUCUAAAACUGCUUUAGUUGUCUCUCCCUGUUCUUCUGUAACAGGGCUUUUAACCUCCUCCUCUUUUUUCUCUGUACUCUUCUCACUUCCCUGCUGGUUCUCAUCCCUUUCUUCUUGUGAAACCUGUAGAUUUUGUGCCAAUUUAUUGUUACUUUCCUCACUCUCUCCUUCAUUGUCAUUGGCUGGCUGAUGUUUAGGCUCCUCUUCCUGUCCUUCCUCCUGUCGUGUCCCUCUGACCUCAUCACUAGUGGACACAGUUUGACAGUCCUCAGUCACUUGACUCCCACUUUCAUCACUCACUCUUACUAUGCCAUCAUCAUUAGUCACCUGGCUGAUGGACAUCUCUGCAUCCUGACCGCCACUAUGCUCUCCCUUCGCUAACUCAUCUGUAGUGGAUGUGGUUUCUGGCUUUCGACUCUCAUUACAUAGCUCUUCUUUACUCUCCACCUCAUCAUUAGUUGACGGGGCUGGCGGUUCUGUUGUCGUCAAACCAACAUUGUCCUCUGUCUUCUCUGUCUCAUCAAUAGGCAAAACGAUUUGUGCCUUUUCUGCCUCUGGAGAUGUGUCCUCGUCUUUUGUCUCUACCUCAUCAUUAAUGGACUCAGUUUCAGGUAAACUAGGGGAUGGUGGGGGGUGAGGAGGUUCUCUCUCCACUAUUUCUCUCUUUUUGUCCGCCCCUGCUGACUCCUCUCUCUCAGUGAACUUCUCUUCUUCAACAGCCUCUACAGAUUUCUCCUGCUCCUCUUCAAUUACAACAACUGUCACUGUCAGCUCCCCCUCCCCUUUAUCUCCCUCUCUCUUUUCCUGUAAACCAAUCUCUUCUUCAAUCCCCCUCUCCCCCUCCUCUCCCUCCUUUCCUCCGCUCCCGCUAGCUUGCAUCGUCACUUCGAAAUGAUCAGGUGCACCUUCCCCCUCACCUGCCAUCCCAAUGUCCUCCAUGUCCUCACCCACCUCCUCCCCCAGUUCUAACACCUCCUCUGCUAGUUCUACAUCCUCCUCCUCCUCCUCUUCAUCUCGUUGUCUCUGUCUGUCCGGGUUGGUACAGGUUCCUAUAGGGCUGUGGAUG